UACGGAGGGUGCAAACGUUGCUCGGAAUCAUUGGGCGUAAAGCGCGCGUAGGCGGCUUGAUAAGUCGGAUGUGAAAGCCCUCGGCUUAACCGGGGAAGUGCAUUCGAAACUGUCAGGCUUGAGUAUGGGAGAGGAUUGUGGAAUUCCCGGUGUAGAGGUGAAAUUCGUAGAUAUCGGGAGGAACACCAGAGGCGAAGGCGACAAUCUGGACCAAUACUGACGCUGAGGUGCGAAAGCGUGGGGAGCAAACAGG
rnacentral:rRNA from 1 species